UAACCUGAUUAUAUCUUUUGCAUAAGAAAGUAUUAGAGGAAAUUAGGUAACUAAGAAUGAUAUAAUUAACCUAACAAGGAUUAAGAGAUACCUAAAAAUUGAUACUACAUAUCUUUUAAGCACCAUAGUUGAUUGAAAAAACAAUAAAAGAACACUUUAACUGAUGUUUCAAAAGUUUAGAACGUGGCUUAGUAUUAUUUUU
rnacentral:lncRNA from 1 species